rnacentral:rRNA from 1 species
UACAGAGGUCUCAAGCGUUGUUCGGAUUCAUUGGGCGUAAAGGGUGCGUAGGCGGCGGGGGAAAGUCUGAUGUGAAAUCCUGGGGCUCAACCCUGGAACUGCAUUGGAUACUUCCUUGCUAGAGUACUGGAGAGGAAACUGGAAUUUACGGUGUAGCAGUGAAAUGCGUAGAGAUCGUAAGGAAGACCAGUGGCGAAGGCGAGUUUCUGGACAGUUACUGACGCUGAGGCACGAAGGCCAGGGGAGCAAACGGG